UCUUUUUUUUUUUGAGAGAUAGGUAGCACGCUAUCCGCUUCGUUUAUUUCAUUUAGAAAUAAACUUAGCUGAAAAUGUGAAUCAACUAGGAUUCGAACUUAGGUCUCGGGUACCAAGUACCAACCACCAAGCCCUUUGUCACUUACUCUAGGGACGGUCGGUGAGAUCUAAAAUUUUGAAACAAAGUUUUGAUAAAAGAGAGGAAAGUGAUGAAGGGAGAGGAAAGAUAGGUGUUUGUCAGAGAGGAUUUUGAAUAGUUUACUUUGGAAUGCGCCAAUUUGGAAUUGAGAGCUGGAUUGAACUACACAUGGAUUAGGCCAUUCCCAUUCUAAAGCAAAAUGAGAAUCGAAAUCCGACUCCUGUAAACCAAACAACAACUAUCGGAAUCAAUAAAUCUCAUCCCGACUCCAUAAUCUAAAAUAAUUAAACCAAACAAGCCCUAAAUAUAUAAGCCAUUUAUCUGCUUAAUU
rnacentral:lncRNA from 1 species